GACGAACGCUGGCGGCGUGCUUAACACAUGCAAGUCGAACGGUGAAGCGCCUUCCUUUUUGGUGGGUGUGGAUGAGUGGCGAACGGGUGAGUAACACGUGAGUAACCUGCCCCCUUCUUCUGGAUAACCGCAUGAAAGUGUGACUAAUACGGGAUAUUCUGGGUCUGUCGCAUGAUGGGUCUGGGAAAGAUAUUGUUUCGGUGGGGGAUGGGCUCGCGGCCUAUCAGCUUGUUGGUGGGGUGAUGGCCUACCAAGGCGGUGACGGGUAGCCGGCCUGGGAGGGUGGACGGUCACACUGGGACUGAGACACGGCCCAGACUCCUACGGGAGGCAGCAGUGGGGAAUAUUGCACAAUGGGCGCAAGCCUGAUGCAGCGACGCCGCGGGAGGGAUGGAGGCCUUCGGGUUGUGAACCUCUUUCGCCAGUGAAGCAGGCCUGCCUCGUUUGUGGGUGGGUUGACGGUAGCUGGAUAAGAAGCGCCGGCUAACUACGUG
rnacentral:rRNA from 1 species